UAGCAGCGCAUCAUGGUUUGUAAUGAUGUGGAAAAAAGGUGCAAACCAUAAUUUGCUGCUUUA
rnacentral:pre_miRNA from 1 species